CCAAUAGCGUAUAUUAAAGUUGUUGCAGUUAAAAAGCUCGUAGUUGAAUUUCGGGAUCAGUACGCUGGUCGUGCCUUCGGUAUGAACUGGUGUCACUGGUUCCUCCCUUCUGAAGAACCGUCAUGCCAUUCAGUUGGUGUGGCGGGAAAUCAGGACUGUUACUUUGAAAAAAUGAGAGUUUUUAAAUCAGGCUCGCGCUUGACUACUUUAUCAUUGAAUAAUUAAAUAGGAUGUUUGACCCUAUUUUGUUGGUUUCUAGGAUCGACGUAAUGAUUAAUAGGGAUAGUUGGGGGCAUUAGUAUUAAAUUGUCAGAGGUGAAAUUCUUGGAUUUAUUGAAGACUAACUACUGCGAAAGCAUUUGCCAAGGAUGUUUUCAUUAAUCAAGAACGAAAGUUAGGGGAUCGAAGACGAUCAGAUACCGUCGUAGUCUUAACCAUAAACUAUGCCGACUAGGGAUCGGAUGAUGUUAAUUUUUUAAUGACUCAUUCGGCGCCUUACG
rnacentral:rRNA from 1 species